AGGCUGUUUCCAAAUAGACCCCCGGCAUCCUUCCCUCCAAGAACUUCCCACCUUGCUCUUGGGGAGACUCAAACUCACAACCUCUCGGUUGGAAGUGCCUAUUCUAUGCCGUUAAUUUCCUAAUGAAAAGCUAGAGAACAAAAAGGAUAUUAACAUAAAUUUCUAGGCUUCUUUGAGAACAUAGGCGGACUCAGAUUUCAUGAUUUAACCUAUAAAAGUGCAUUAUAACGAAUUACCUUUUCCGACUAUGUUCUCAAGAGCUUGCAAGGUACUGAGAGAAGAAGCGAGAUCAUUAGCCCAUAUAUUCCUCCCAUCAACUACUCCAGCAAAAAGAUACUUUUCCGAAGGAAAACUGCUCUUGAUCAAAUCAAGAGUCUUCGAUCCACGAACUAGAUCAAACCCCAAUGCGGUAACACCUUUUAAAGCGGUAACCGUUUUGAAAGCUUCAGAAGGAACAUCAGCAGAACAUGUCACUAUGAGGACGUUUAAACCAGAAACAGUAACACCUUUUAAAGUGGUCACUGUUUUGAAGCUUCAGCAGGAAAUUGGCAAAAUAUGUCCUGAUAAGGACAUUUAAACCAGAAAGUGAUGACUCUAAUUCUGAGUAAGCAUGAGAAAAUGCCCCUAAUUGAUGAGAAUCAAGAUCUUUAACAAGAGUAGGCUCAUCAAACUGAAUCCAACUUUCACCAGCUGCCUUCAGUUUAGCAAUGACUUCCAUAAAUGAGCAGCACGAUACAAGGCAGUUGUGGUGAACAUUAUGAGAGAGAAAUACAGGAAUAAAUAAUAAAUAAGGGAAAUUUGUUUUAUCUUACUUGUAAACAGGAAGAAUCUUGCCAACCAGCGAGAGAAGAGGAAACGACUUCUCAACACCUUUUGCUGCUUUUUAUAAAAAGAGGAAGGAAACUGGACCGACAAGGACAGGGACGGUGUCAACACCUAGCUGUAAAAUCAAAAAGUUGAAACCAAUAUCAGCACACCAAAUCAUUCCAAAAGAUUCAGUUAAUUGGAGGAACAAACUAAAACAACUGACAUGUGGCUAUCAGUUUAUACUAGGAAAAUACGAGUCAAUACCACAUCAGGAUGGUUUUCAAUAAAGACAACAAAAUAGAGGUUACUAAGUGCAAUUUUACUAUGAUACCGACGACACAAAGUGCUCAGCUGAUACAAAGUGCUCCGCAGAUCUGAACGCAGAGUUGACCCUUUUUUGUAUAUCCUCAAAUUAUGCAUCAGUCUUUUUGGUUUACCUAUAUAAAUAUGUAAAUUAAUCCCGAAACUUGAAAUUUGUUACUACUCACAGGCAACAUCACCCGUUAAGUUGGUUAAGAACCAUGAGGCUUCACAUUCAAAUCUCAACUGAGACAAAAAAACACUAGGCCUUUUCGUCCUAUCUGUCCAAGCCUUGAUGGACAAACAACAACAACUACUACUACCCAGUAUAGUCCCACAAAGUGGGGUCUGGGGAGGGUAAUAUGUAGACGAGCCUUAACCCUACCCGAAAGGGCAGAGAGACUGUUUCCAAUCGACCCUCGGCUCGGUGAGUAACUAUCAGUCAAAUCAUGUUGAACAAACUCGAUGCAGUCAAUUGCACCUUGUUUUUGUGAGCAGUAAUUGCACCUUCGGAAAUGAUGGAAAAUGGACUCCAAUUUUUAACACUCAAACUUGGUUAGACCGUUUGUCUUCCAAGUCUCAUAACUUAAUGUUAUUGGUCUUUUAGUUAUCCUUAAAACUUGGGUCAAGAUCUCUGCGAACCUAAAUGUUUGACUGACUACACUCAGCUCGUUAACUUGACUUGGAACUUGGAAGUCAUUACCCUUCUUGGUCCCCACAUUGUAGACAAUCAGAAGAAAAGCAGAUUCCAAGCAAAUUAAUACUGCUUUGUACAGGAUAUAGAUUAUUCCAUGGCACUGCAAUUAACUACCAAAAUCAGAGGAAUAAUUUAAAUUAGCCUUGCGGAAGAACACGGGAAUCAGCUUGAAUUUAAAUGCUGGAAGGUGGUGUUAGGAGAGGGGCAGAGGAUAAUGUCCAAUGAAGGAAGAGUGACUGUGGGUUCUGUUUGAUAAUAUGGAUAGGUCUGUGUAUCAGUGCAGACAAAAAGCUCUUUCUAGGAAAAAAAAUCUACUCUAGAAACAGAAAAGAACAUAGAAUCUGCUCAAGUGGAAAGUAUCUAGAACAACUUCCAUAUUAAAGCCAGAUACAAACUACCCAACGGAACCUCAAGAGUAGCAUAAAGAGCAACAAGAAUAUCAAAUAUAGAGGGAGGGGGGACAACUGACCUUGAACACGUGAUGAGCCACAAUCCGACUCUUGACAUUUUAAAUUCAUCUCACUUUUUGUUGCUCCAGUUUCAUUUUUUCCUCAGAUGACAAAAUUACCUAGAAUUACCUAGUACUUGUUGGUGGUGGGAGGUAGCAGGAAUCCCGUUGAAUUAGUCGAGGUGCGCUUAAGCUCGCCCGAACACCAUGGUUAAAUUAAAAACAAAAAAAGGGACCACCCAUAAUGUGACUGUAGGAUUGCUUAUGGGUGUUUGUAACACGCAGCGGAAUAUAAUAACAAUCCUAGGUAGAUUUUCUCAUGUUUAAAAUUUAUUUGCAUGUCAAAAAUAGGAUUUAAGACGUACCUGGUGAAGAGAGUUUCUUUUCCGAAAUUUCUUCGAUAGUGCGAAGACUCUAUGCGUAUCCACACCGAGACCGAUCUUUGCUAUGAAAUUUCUUCGAUAGUGCGAAGACUCUAUGCGUAUCCACACCGAGACCGAUCCUUGCUAUCAACUCUUUGAUAAAUGAAACCUGUGAACAAAUUGAACGGAAAUAUUAUGCUAAAGUUUUUCUCAAAAACUAUAGCUAAAAUAUGAAAGACUAAGAAAACUAAUUUUCUUGUCAAUAAUUUUUUUUCUUUAUCUCACAUUUUUCUCUCGAUUUUUCUUACUAAUUCUUCUUAAUGAUAUGUGUAUAUAUAUACACAUAUUGAGUCAAAAAAGGAAGGAAAGUAGUUGGAGACUCUACCAACUAAAUACAAUUCUAUUUAGAAUUGUAUAACCAACACUAUUGAUUUGGCCAACAAUUCCAUUUUGAAUGGAAUUCCAAUUCCAUUUCUUAAUGGAAUUCUUGCCUAAUUUUAUCAAACUCUUUAGUUGACCAAAUUCUUAAAUACAAUUCUAUUUUUUAAUUUUUUAUUCUUAUAUAUAUAUCACACACACACACACACACACACACAGAGCAUAGAUCCAGAAUGAUGAUAAAUCUUCCAUGUAGAUGAUUAACAUAAAUAUGUCAAAAUACCUCGUCUCUUAGGCCAGCUAAUGCCUUUGCCAAUGCAUUGACUUCCACCAAUUUUUGUGCAGCAAAUGCAAGCCAUGACUUAAUUUCUUCAUCAAACUUAGUCUCAUUCACUAAAUCAACUGCAGUGUGGAGAAGCAAGCAGGACGUGGAGACCACAAGCUUGUAUGAAGAUAACAAAUGCCCAAAAACGUCACUCAUACGCUUCCAAUAAUCCACGGACUAAGAUUUUGUUAUAUAUUGUUGCAAAGAUUUCACUAAUUCAUUUAUUUCCUUAUUUCGAGAUAAAGCAAAGACCAAACCGAGGACUCAUUUCUUACUGGUACACGUCUAAAAAAGCAACAUGCAGACCAAGAGUGUAGAAAGUCUUCCAAAUUUUGGAAGACUAACGUUCUAUUGAAAAAUGUGGUGAUAACAGAGGAUAAUGGAAUAACCAAACAGCCGAAAUUGCUUGACUGCAAUACUUCAAAUUUCUGAAACAGACCUUAUCGUGCCUAUUCUAUGCCGUUAAUUUCCUAAUGAAACGCUAGAGAACAAAAAGGAUAUUGACAUAAAUUUCUAGGCUUCUUUGAGAACGUAGGCGGACUCAGAUUUCAUGAUUCAACCUAUAAAAGUGCAGUUAUAACGAAUUACCUUUUCCGACUAUGUUCUCAAGAGCUUGCAAGGUACUGAGAGAAGAAGCGAGAUCAUUAGCCCAUAUAUUCCUCCCAUCAACUACUCCAGCAAAAAGUUACUUUUCCGAAGGAAAACCGCUCUUGAUCAAAUCAAGAGUCUUCGAUCCACGAACUAGAUCAAACCCCAAUGCAGUAACACCUUUUAAAGUGGUCACUGUUUUGAAGCUUCAGCAGGAAAUUGGCAAAAUAUGUCCUGAUAAGGACAUUUAAACCAGAAAGUGAUGACUCUAAUUCUGAGUAAGCAUGAGAAAAUGCCCCUAAUUGAUGAGAAUCAAGAUCUUUAACAAGAAUAGGCUCAUCAAACUGAAUCCAACUUGCACCAGCUGCCUUCAGUUCAGCAAUGACUUCC
rnacentral:lncRNA from 1 species